rnacentral:rRNA from 1 species
GUGCCUAAUACAUGCAAGUCGAGCGAACAGAUAAGGAGCUUGCUCCUUUGACGUUAGCGGCGGACGGGUGAGUAACACGUGGGUAACCUACCUAUAAGACUGGGAUAACUUCGGGAAACCGGAGCUAAUACCGGAUAACAUUUGGAACCGCAUGGUUCUAAAGUGAAAGAUGGUUUUGCUAUCACUUAUAGAUGGACCCGCGCCGUAUUAGCUAGUUGGUAAGGUAAUGGCUACCAAGGCGACGAUACGUAGCCGACCUGAGAGGGUGAUCGGCCACACUGGAACUGAGACACGGUCCAGACUCCUACGGGAGGCAGCAGUAGGGAAUCUUCCGCAAUGGGCGAAAGCCUGACGGAGCAACGCCGCGUGAGUGAUGAGGGUCUUCGGAUCGUAAAACUCUGUUGUUAGGGAAGAACAAAUUUGUUAGUAACUGAACAAGUCUUGACGGUACCUAACCAGAAAGCCACGGCUAACUACGUGCCAGCAGCCGCGGUAAUACGUAGGUGGCAAGCGUUAUCCGGAAUUAUUGGGCGUAAAGCGCGCGUAGGCGGUUUCUUAAGUCUGAUGUGAAAGCCCACGGCUCAACCGUGGAGGGUCAUUGGAAACUGGGAAACUUGAGUGCAGAAGAGGAGAGUGGAAUUCCAUGUGUAGCGGUGAAAUGCGCAGAGAUAUGGAGGAACACCAGUGGCGAAGGCGGCUCUCUGGUCUGUAACUGACGCUGAUGUGCGAAAGCGUGGGGAUCAAACAGGAUUAGAUACCCUGGUAGUCCACGCCGUAAACGAUGAGUGCUAAGUGUUAGGGGGUCUCCGCCCCUUAGUGCUGCAGCUAACGCAUUAAGCACUCCGCCUGGGGAGUACGACCGCAAGGUUGAAACUCAAAUGAAUUGACGG